rnacentral:rRNA from 1 species
AAAUUGAAGAGUUUGAUCAUGGCUCAGAUUGAACGCUGGCGGCAGGCCUAACACAUGCAAGUCGAGCGGUAGCACAGAAGAGCUUGCUCUUUGGGUGACGAGCGGCGGACGGGUGAGUAAUGUCUGGGAAACUGCCUGAUGGAGGGGGAUAACUACUGGAAACGGUAGCUAAUACCGCAUAACCUCGCAAGAGCAAAGAGGGGGACCUUCGGGCCUCUCGCCAUCAGAUGUGCCCAGAUGGGAUUAGCUAGUAGGUGAGGUAAUGGCUCACCUAGGCGACGAUCCCUAGCUGGUCUGAGAGGAUGACCAGCCACACUGGAACUGAGACACGGUCCAGACUCCUACGGGAGGCAGCAGUGGGGAAUAUUGCACAAUGGGCGCAAGCCUGAUGCAGCCAUGCCGCGUGUGUGAAGAAGGCCUUCGGGUUGUAAAGCACUUUCAGCGGGGAGGAAGGCAGUAAGGUUAAUAACCUUGCUGAUUGACGUUACCCGCAGAAGAAGCACCGGCUAACUCCGUGCCAGCAGCCGCGGUAAUACGGAGGGUGCAAGCGUUAAUCGGAAUGACUGGGCGUAAAGCGCACGCAGGCGGUCUGUUAAGUUGGAUGUGAAAUCCCCGGGCUUAACCUGGGAACUGCAUUCAAAACUGACAGGCUAGAGUCUUGUAGAGGGGGGUAGAAUUCCAGGUGUAGCGGUGAAAUGCGUAGAGAUCUGGAGGAAUACCGGUGGCGAAGGCGGCCCCCUGGACAAAGACUGACGCUCAGGUGCGAAAGCGUGGGGAGCAAACAGGAUUAGAUACCCUGGUAGUCCACGCUGUAAACGAUGUCGAUUUGGAGGUUGUGCCCUUGAGGCGUGGCUUCCGGAGCUAACGCGUUAAAUCGACCGCCUGGGGAGUACGGCCGCAAGGUUAAAACUCAAAUGAAUUGACGGGGGCCCGCACAAGCGGUGGAGCAUGUGGUUUAAUUCGAUGCAACGCGAAGAACCUUACCUACUCUUGACAUCCAGAGAAUUUGCUAGAGAUAGCUUAGUGCCUUCGGGAACUCUGAGACAGGUGCUGCAUGGCUGUCGUCAGCUCGUGUUGUGAAAUGUUGGGUUAAGUCCCGCAACGAGCGCAACCCUUAUCCUUUGUUGCCAGCGAUUCGGUCGGGAACUCAAAGGAGACUGCCGGUGAUAAACCGGAGGAAGGUGGGGAUGACGUCAAGUCAUCAUGGCCCUUACGAGUAGGGCUACACACGUGCUACAAUGGCGUAUACAAAGAGAAGCGACCUCGCGAGAGCAAGCGGACCUCAUAAAGUACGUCGUAGUCCGGAUUGGAGUCUGCAACUCGACUCCAUGAAGUCGGAAUCGCUAGUAAUCGUAGAUCAGAAUGCUACGGUGAAUACGUUCCCGGGCCUUGUACACACCGCCCGUCACACCAUGGGAGUGGGUUGCAAAAGAAGUAGGUAGCUUAACCUUCGGGAGGGCGCUUACCACUUUGUGAUUCAUGACUGGGGUGAAGUCGUAACAAGGUAACCGUAGGGGAACCUGCGGUUGGAUCACCUCCUUACCAAGAAG